UGGCCCGUCUCCCGGAGCUGCCGGACGCUGAACUUACUGGGCAUCGCGGCGGCGGUGCGGCCCAAGCAAGAGGGUCCGUGGAAAUGAAACUGAAACUCGGAGCCGCGGCAGGAAGUUAGCGGCCCUAGGAUGAAGGAAUUCCCUGCAGGAGGUCACACAGUCUAACCUAGUGAGGAAGGUGCAGACCCCAGGUGGUGCUCCAGCUGGGCUACCCUUGUACCGUUUCCAGGCCAAGGGCCAACUACAGCCAGGAACAACAGACUGUAGCAAGAGGAAAUGCAGUCAGUGGGACCCAAAGCUACAGGAUGGGGCAAGCAGAGCGGGGGAGAACGUUGCCUUAAAAAUUGAUUAUCCACAGUAGAGGGGAAAACUGGGAAAGUAGCCAAGGAUUUUUACCUUUUUCUCCCCCAAACACCCGGCAAGGCCUGGGAGUAAUAGAGUGUACUCUUCUGAAAUGCGUUGUUACCAUUUCAAGAACCUACCGCCUACCUUACCCAAAGCGAAUGUCUGGUUGCAUUUUGGUCAGCAAGUCAGCGAUGUCCCCGUUAUUGGACACAUACCCUCGUCCCUGUCUGGUUAGGCUUGUUUCCUGAACGUUCUCAGAACCUGAACAGCCAUAGUCUAGUCAAAACAGGUAGAAGGGUGGUGUGGCUUUGCUUACAAUGGAACCUCUUUAGACCUCCUCUGG